rnacentral:rRNA from 1 species
UACGAAGGGGGCUAGCGUUGCUCGGAAUCACUGGCGUAAAGGGUGCGUAGGCGGGUCUUUAAGUCAGGGGUGAAAUCCUGGAGCUCAACUCCAGAACUGCCUUUGAUACUGAGGAUCUUGAGUACGGGAGAGGUGAGUGGAACUGCGAGUGUAGAGGUGAAAUUCGUAGAUAUUCGCAAGAACACCAGUGGCGAAGGCGGCUCACUGGCCCGUAACUGACGCUGAGGCACGAAAGCGUGGGGAGCAAACAGG